rnacentral:tRNA from 1 species
GCCUUCGUGGUGUAGUGGUCAGCACACUCGUCGCCUAACCGAAAGGUCCGUGGUUCGAUUCCCGGCAAAGGCG